rnacentral:lncRNA from 1 species
AAAAAAUACAAUUAUGCUGUUUGUAUUUAUAUUAUAAAUGUUGUUUUAAUUAUUAUUGUGUUAUAAUUUUUAAUGUCAUGUAAUUGAAAGUUGAUUUAUUUUUUAUUGCAAAUUAAAUCCCCAAAUUAACAAAAUUAGAAUAGAACCCAAAAUCAAGUAAAAAAUCAACGAAAUAAAUUAACAAACAAAGCCCAUGAUUAACAAAAAAUUUAACAAAAUUAGAAUAGAGCCCAAAUUAAUCUUCUUUUUCUUUCACCCAAAAUUAAUGAAAAAAAUCUAUAUUAAACAAAAGUAGAGCCAAAAAAUUAACAAAGCCCAUGAUUACAAACAAAUAAAUAAAAUAUUAUCAUUAUAAAAGGUAAGAGGCAGCCCUAAUUUCUUCAUCCUCAACCUGCGCCUCUCAUAUCUUCUUUUUCGUCUUUGUUUUGUUUUUCGACUUCUGCAUAAAUCUUCUUCUUCCAGCAACACAUCAAAAAUUCAAACAAAUAAAAUCCCUAAUAUCCUUCCCUUCAUCAGCAUCUCUUCUUCUGCUAAUAUUACAUAGCCAUUUAUUUUUUUCUCAUUUCUUCUUCCUUAAGUUCGUUCGCCCUCCCUCAGAAAUCUGCCGCUACGGCUCUUCCUCCGGUGAAGAGCCGUCGGCCGCCCUCUCUCUCAUCACACGCAGAGACGCACACACACACCUUAUCUCUCUCUCUCUCGCCUGACCAGACGCCACCACACACACAAGCACAGAUGGCGGCGCGCGCACACAGGCACCGGCGGCCAUCUCUCCGGCAAAUCGACAGCGGUGAGCCGCCGCGCCGUUCCAGAAUCCAGACCCCAAUCACAACCGCCGACUCCCUCAUUCGGAAACACCCUCUGGGUCUCCCUCUCUGUCUCGCAACUCUCCGAUCCGGGCGAAGACGCUGCCCCACACGGUGCUGACUCCUUCCUCGCGACGACAAAGAUGCCGCCGCCGCCCUCUUCGAUUCUCCGGCAACCGCGGCGGUGCCGAGGCUGCUGCCCUCCUUUCCCUGACUCGACUCAACUUGGAACUCACAGACGCGACUCAACUUAGCAAGUUCAAAGGCAGAGAAAUAAAAUCAAUGCUUCAAACUUCUACUUCUUCUUUCUUCUUUAUCAGUGAAAGCCAAGUUCUUGAAAUUGUUCAAGGUCUUUUUAGAGAAAAAAACUUGCCGCUUCUUCUUUCUCAUCUUUUUCUUCUUUAGUUGUCGUCGUUGUUUUGGGUGGUGUUGGUGGUUGCAGUAGCACUGACAAUGGCGAUAAUGGAAGACCAUGAUUGUUGUUUGAUUGCAAAUUUCAUCUUAUUUAUAGAGCCUCAAAAUGUGUAGGCUACGUAUACUUGUUCUCCAAGAACAUAUUAGGAAAUGACAUAUUAACAUAUAUUCUUGAUGAGCAAGUUUUGAAAGAGCUGAGGGAAAUUAUAAUCUAGUGGAUAAUUAGAUGAAUGAUAUUACAUGUUGAUUAACAGGCUUCUUCAUUUUCCCGCCAAAAUGGCCAUUUUGGCUAAGGUUGAGCUUUUAUA